rnacentral:lncRNA from 1 species
GCCGAAUGUGAGCUCCUCCGAGGCCUCCUGGUGAAACAGCGGGAGUCGUCGCUCUUCCUCACGGGUCCAGACCCGGCGCACAGCCCCGAGCGCGGGCGGCCCUUUGGCACCACGGCAGCUCCAGCCCGAGAACAAAGCCAGCCCGCGGCACAGCUGAGCAGAUAGCUGGAAGGACGCGGACUCCUGACGCUCCUGUUUGAGCCCUUGCACCAGCCACGCCCCACUUCGCCUGGACUUUCAGGAAGCUGCCUGCUGGAUGGAAAACAUGGCCAACAAAUCACUGGGCAGUGCUCUGAAGAUUCCCACGUGUUCCCCAGAAACAAAACAGACUCUCCUGUCACUUUCUUUAGGCGCUUCUUGCUGGCCAGGUUGUCACUUAAAC